CAGUCGCCGCGGUAAUACGAAGGGGGCUAGCGUUGUUCGGAAUUACUGGGCGUAAAGCGCACGUAGGCGGAUAUUUAAGUCAGGGGUGAAAUCCCGCAGCUCAACUGCGGAACUGCCUUUGAUACUGGGUAUCUUGAGUAUGGAAGAGGUUAGUGGAAUUGCGAGUGUAGAGGUGAAAUUCGUAGAUAUUCGCAGGAACACCAGUGGCGAAGGCGGCUAACUGGUCCAUAACUGACGCUGAGGUGCGAAAGCGUGGGGAGCAAACAGGAUUAGAUACCCCCAGUAGUCCCUGUCUCUUAUA
rnacentral:rRNA from 1 species